CACUGUUCUGGCUCUGCGGCGAAAGAUAGAUUAAUGUGGUAGAUAUGUAUGUGGGGAUUAUAUGAAUUUAUGACAUGUCGGGAUAGUCGAGCAAAGCGGUGGUUGUGAGGCGGUAGUGUCGCCAGAUGUUCACGAGAAAAAGUGUCGAGACAGCGGCGUGAUGAGUGAAAUGCUGACUCGGGACGCCUGCUGGAGGCCCACAACUCCUAGGAAAGCCUUGCCAAAUGUGUGUUUCCUUAGGUUCAAAGUACAGAGGAAGGGUCACACUACCACCAGGGUCACAAAACUACCCCUGGAAAUGCCCACAACUCCUAGGAAAGCCUUGCCAAAUGUGUGUUUCCUUAGGUUCAAAGUACAGAGGAAGGGUCACACUACCACCAGGGCCACAAAACUACCCCUGGAAAUGCCCACAACUCCUAGGAAAGCCUUGUCAAAUGUGUGUUUCCUUAGGUUCACGGUACAGAGGAAGGGUCACAAAACUACCCCUGGAAAUGCCCACAACUCCUAGGAAAGCCUUGGCAAAUGUGUGUUUCCUUAGGUUCACGGUACAGAGGAAGGGUCACAAAACUACCCCUGGAAAUGCCCACAACUCCUAGGAAAGCCUUGCCAAAUGUGUGUUUCCUUAGGUUCACGGUACAGAGGAAGGGUCACAAAACUACCCCUGGAAAUGCCCACAACUCCUAGGAAAGCCUUGGCAAAUUAUGCUUACAUCUCAAAAUUAUCAAAUAAUCUAUGUUUCUUUAUGUGCACCAUUUAAUUCUGCAUGUUUUUAUAUAUAAUACAUGAUGAUUAUAUUGAGUUUAUGGCUGAAAAAACAGACACAGACGGGCUAGGCAUGGGUCAUAUAGGAUGACUGGCAGGAACCAACACUAUGAGCCACAUAUUUGUAACAGGUUCACAGCAUGGUGUGGUGAAUGCUUAUGUUGCCUUCCCAUGACUGAGCCUUGGGGAGCUUGGCCAUUUCCAGGGGGAGUUUUAUGGCCCCUCUGCCCGGGCUGCCU